rnacentral:rRNA from 1 species
CUGGUUGAUCCUGCCAGAGGUUACUGCUAUCGAGGUUCGACUAAGCCAUGCGAGUCGAAUGUAGCAAUACAUGGCGUACUGCUCAGUAACACGUGGAUAACCUGCCCUUAGAACGGGGAUAAACCCGGGAAACUGGGUAUAAUACCCGAUAGAUCUCGAUUGCUGGAAUGCAUCGAGCUUUAAAGCUCCGGCGUCUAAGGAUGGAUCUGCGGCCUAUCAGGUAGUAGUGGGUGUAGCGUACCUACUAGCCUACGACGGGUACGGGUUGUGAGAGCAAGAGCCCGGAGAUGGAUUCUGAGACACGAAUCCAGGCCCUACGGGGUGCAGCAGGCGCGAAAACUUUACAAUGCCGGCAACGGCGAUAAGGGGACCUCGAGUGCCAGGUUACAAAUCUGGCUGUCGUGAUGCCUAAAAAGCAUUGCAUAGCAAGGGCCGGGCAAGACCGGUGCCAGCCGCCGCGGUAACACCGGCGGCUCGAGUGGUAACCGUUAUUAUUGGGUCUAAAGGGUCUGUAGCCGGCCGGAUAAGUCUCUUGGGAAAUCUGGCAGCUUAACUGUCAGGCGUCCAAGAGAUACUGAUAGGCUUGGGACCGGGAGAGGUGGGAGGUACUCCAGGGGUAGGGGUGAAAUCUCGUAAUCCUUGGGGGACCACCGAUGGCGAAGGCAUCCCACCAGAACGGGUCCGACGGUGAGGGACGAAAGCUGGGGGCACGAACCGGAUUAGAUACCCGGGUAGUCCCAGCUGUAAACGAUGCUCGCUAGGUGUCAGGUGCGGUGCGACCGCAUCUGGUGCCGUAGUGAAAACUUGAAGCGAGUCACCUGGGAAGUACGGUCGCAAGGCUGAAACUUAAAGGAAUUGGCGGGGGAGCACUACAACGGGUGGAGCCUGCGGUUCAAUUGGAUUCAACGCCGGG